rnacentral:lncRNA from 1 species
AAACGUUCUUGUUUAUGUUCAUAAUUAAAGGUUUUACGUUCGUUCUUUGGUGAUGAAUAACAAAUUGGUAACAAUUCAGUAGCAGUGGUCGAUCAAUGCAAGUUGCUGGUGUUGAACCUUCUGGACAGAUCAUCCAUGGCAGUUCGGAACUGAACGAUCUUUAAACAAUUUCAUGUUGCAUUAGAUUUCAAACAAAGAUCACAGAAAAUGGACGUACAAAUACAUGCUUCCGUCAAAAAAAUCUGCACUGGUAUGGAUUCUUUUGACAGAGCGGCGUACUAAAUACCUGAAGAAGAACAUGUAGGUAUCGGCUAAUCGUUCGACCGAGGCAACGGAGUAUAAAUAUAUUGUCAACAGCAUGCCAUAUCCUAUAGUAGAGCACGUCAGAGGUACUAUAUUCUUCAGGUAGAGGCAGCCGUGCCGAACAUACUGCCCAAGAAAAACCUCCAUGUAAAUCAACGCGGGGCCCCAUGUAGCGUACAUGACCAUCAUUUGAAUGAAGCCAGGUUCUAGUUAAAAGGUAUUUGAAACAUGAAGGAAUUAAGCAAUCGAGUUCUACUUGUAACUUCAAAGUGUAAAUCGAAAAAUAAGUGGCGAAACGCCGAAGAAACAACCCACUGAAAUCGUUUUUGAACAUGUAACUCAUGUCACAAAAGUAAAUGGUAUCGAUUUGAAAGCAGGCAGUAACGAGGACCAGGUCAGACAAACUCCAAGAAAGAUCGUAUGAUUUGUAACGAUCGUCAUUUUUAGCUGACUCAAUCGGUUCCCUAGCUUUUCGAAAUAUCUGUUCUUCGAAUCGUGUAAGCUGCUUCAACCAUCCCCAAGUUCUGUUCAUAAUCUUAGCCGUUAGCACCAGCGAGUCUUGUAAGUAUUCCAAGGUUAAGAGCUGUGCAAGAUGUUACCAAUAUUCACAGCCCAGGCUAGUCACUGAUAUCUCGAUCGUACUCUUUCUGUCACGAAAGUGAUUUUUCUGAAUAAAUGAGCAUCGCAAUUUUCAAAAUUUCUGAACAUCGCAUUCCAAAGAUAUAAUAAUAAGUAAUAACAAAUGUAUGAGUAAUGGAUUCAAUAAAUUAACAUUAAUGACUAUGAUACUGCAACAAAUGAUAAACCAAGGAACCAGUAAUUAAAUUGACAAAUUUGCGCAUGAGACAAUCAAUAUUAUGAAGACUAAUUGAUUGCUGUGUGUAAUUAGGCAUUUUUAUUAUGUAUUUAUUUAUUUUUUUCACAUGAGAAAAUACUAUUUACAUUGCACAGUUUUAGCGUUAUUACAUCUGCAACAUACCUAAUGAUCGCUUUUUUUUUAUCUUGCGUAGAAUCAAGCUGCGACAUAAGCUUCGGUUAAUUAGACGAUCACAUAAUAAAUAAUUCUCUGGUUAUGAUUCUCGUUACAUCGUAUAUUAUAUGUACGUUACAACAAUGAUUGUGAAAUGUAUGAAAUCAUUCGGAAAUUGUUGGAAAAACAUUUUCUACAGGAUCCGUACAUAAAUGUAUAACUUGUUGCUUCAAGCCAUGAAUAAAAAUUGAUUCUGAAUCUCAUUGUAAUCCAUAAAAAUGACAUUUCCAGUCAUUAGUUGAAAAUAAUAAAUAGAGACUUCAAUACUGAUUAAACCUGAAACUCAGUCCGAAUUGUAAUUUAAUCAAAUAGUAACCAGUUUUAACAAAAUUAAUCAACGUAAAUUAUUUAUAAUUAAACCAUGUUGAAAGAAUCGAUCAUCGCAAUUUACUUUUAUGAAUAGUUUGAAACCGAAUACAAGAAUUGUAGCCAAAGAAUUUUCGUAACAAGUCUAGCAAUUUGUAUUCAAGUGGUUAGAGUACUUGUACAUCUAUAUAAUAUACAGGAAAAGCAGUUUUCAUGGUUGAUUUGCAUAAAAAAUUAUGUUUAUAGUUUUUGUCAAUUAUAAUGCUGAUAAAUAUCUCUAUUCGGCAGUAAAAUUUUAACGAUACUUGUACAAGGUUUAUACCUUGGCAGUUAACAUAAAGUCAACCAAAAUUAUUUUCAGGAAACCUGUUUUUCAAUAAAUUUCUACAUGUAUUCCGCAGGUGUUGUUCGUAACUCUAUUUUCGCAAUAUAAUCACUGUAACAGAUUCAUGUACCAAAGAUAAAAACGUUUCACCAUCCUGUUCGUCUAUUUAAAAAAAUCAGGUUCGACAUAAUUUUAACAAAAAUUUGUUUUAUUUGAUGGUACGGGAAAUUUACUGCUGGUAAAAUGUAUGCAGUAAUAUUAUUAAUAAAAAAAAAAAAAACGAAUGUUGUACCUACGUAUAUAUUAUUGGAUAUGUGUUUUUGCAUAUUGAUUUAAAUAUUUUUAACAAUAAGACUUCUGAAACAUGUCAGGAUUUUAUUAUUUAUACUGCAGAUUAAUAAUCGAAGAAAAAUAUAAGUACCAAACGCACAAUUGAUUUUUUAUCCGUAUCGUUACAUCAUCGUUACAAAAUUGCAUUCUGAUAUGCUCUCGUACGA